rnacentral:rRNA from 1 species
GACGAUCUGUAGCGGGUCUGAGAGGAUGAUCCGCCACACUGGGACUGAGACACGGCCCAGACUCCUACGGGAGGCAGCAGUGGGGAAUUUUGGACAAUGGGCGCAAGCCUGAUCCAGCCAUGCCGCGUGAGUGAAGAAGGCCUUCGGGUUGUAAAGCUCUUUCGGCCGGGAAGAAAUCGGCGACUCUAACAUAGUCGCUGGAUGACGGUGCCGGACUAAGAAGCACCGGCUAACUACGUGCCAGCAGCCGCGGUAAUACGUAGGGUGCGAGCGUUAAUCGGAAUUACUGGGCGUAAAGCGUGCGCAGGCGGUUUUGUAAGACAGAUGUGAAAUCCCCGGGCUUAACCUGGGAACUGCGUUUGUGACUGCAAGGCUAGAGUACGGCAGAGGGGGGUGGAAUUCCUGGUGUAGCAGUGAAAUGCGUAGAUAUCAGGAGGAACACCGAUGGCGAAGGCAGCCCCCUGGGCCUGUACUGACGCUCAUGCACGAAAGCGUGGGGGAGCAAACAGGAUUAGAUACCCUGGUAGUCCACGCCCUAAACGAUGUCGACUAGUCGUUCGGAGCAGCAA